ensembl:snRNA U6 U6 spliceosomal RNA
GUGCUUGCUUCGGCAGCACAUAUACUAAAACUGGAAUAGAAAAGAUUAGCAUGGCUCCUGAGCAAGGAUGACACAUACAUUUGUGAAGCAUUCCAUAUUUUA